rnacentral:rRNA from 1 species
UGGGGAAUAUUGCACAAUGGAGGGAACUCUGAUGCAGCGACGCCGCGUGAACGAAGAAGGCUUUCGAGUCGUAAAGUUCUUUUAUAUGGGAAGAUAAUGACGGUACCAUAAGAAAAAGCCCCGGCUAACUACGUGCCAGCAGCCGCGGUAAUACGUAGGGGGCUAGCGUUGUCCGGAAUCACUGGGCGUAAAGGGUUCGCAGGCGGAAAUGCAAGUCAGGUGUAAAAGGCAGUAGCUUAACUACUGUAAGCAUUUGAAACUGCAUAUCUUGAGAAGAGUAGAGGUAAGUGGAAUUUUUAGUGUAGCGGUGAAAUGCGUAGAUAUUAGGAAGAACACCGGUGGCGAAGGCGACUUUCUGGACGAAAACUGACGCUGAUGCGCGAAAGCGUGGGGAGCAAACAGG